GCCUCCGUAGCUCAGCGGCAGAGCGUCUGCCUUGUAAGCAGAAGGUCGCGGGGCCAGCACCCGUCGGAGGCU
rfam:Candidatus Parvarchaeum acidophilus ARMAN-5 ARM5contig_1584, whole genome shotgun sequence.